rnacentral:rRNA from 1 species
AUAGUAUUAUUUUAUUAAUCGAAUAAUUCAGAUCUUAUUAUUAGUAGUUGAGAAUGGUUAUUUAAUCUAGGUAAGGUUAUUAAAAUUGAUAUUAAGAAGUGAUAAAUUAUACGUUGAAUUUUAUAUCUAUUUAGCUAUACAUUAAUAAAUUGUUAUAUAAUAGGUUAAGAGAUCUAUUGUUAGGUUAUACAAUAUUUAUUAAAUUUUUGUAAAAUUAGGUUAAAAGUACCUAUUUUUUAUAAGUUUGUUAAAAAUUUAAUUGUUUUGUGUUUAUGUUAAAUAAUAUAAUAGCUUAUAAUAAUAAUUAGUUACUUAUAUAUCAUCAAAUAAGUAAUAUCAUUACACAAAUUAUUUCUCGAAUCUUUUCCGUCUGUUUAUUAAAAACAUUUCCAAUUUUAAGUUUAGUUGGUAGUGCCUGCCCAAUGUUUUUAUUAAUGGCCGCAGUAUAUUGACUGUGCGAAGGUAGCAUAAUUAAUUGCCUUUUAAUUGGGGGCUUGUUUGAAUGG